rnacentral:rRNA from 1 species
AAUAGCCCAACGGCUGAACCAGCAACUUGGAAGAAUGUAUAGCAAUGGCUAAUUGUGUAAUAAUAUGCAAUAUCAACUUAGUUGAAUAAAGUUCUGGGUGAACUUUGAUAAUGACAUUGUUUAUCCAUAUGUCUUGACCAAAUUACGUGCCAGCAGUCGCGGUAACACGUCAAAGACUAGUGUUAUUCAUCUUUAAUAGGUUUAAAGGGUACUUAGACGGCAAAUCAAGCCUUAGGCGGUACUAAUUUGCUAGAGUUAAAUACAAGGGGGCUUAAAAGUACUUUUGGUUUAAAGAUGAAAUUUAUUGAGACCAUUUCCAAAAGAAAAGUAGGCACAGGUAAAGGCGAAAGCAUCUCCCUAUGUAAUAACUGACGUUGAAGGACGAAGGCUUUGAAUAGCGAAUAGGAUUAGAUACCCUAGUAGUCGAAGCAGAAAAUGAUGAGUGUCAUAGACUAGACAAAUGUUUAGUGUAUAAAUGAAAGUGUAAACACUCCACCUUAUGAGUAAAGUGGCAACACCGAAAUUGAAAUCAUUAGACCGUUUCUGAAACCAGUAGUGAAGUAUGUUGUUUAAUUUGAUAAUCCGCAAAAAACCUUACCACAACUUGAAUAUUUAUAUUAUUUGUGUUGUAAAUUAAAAAAGUAAAAAUACUAUAAAUUAAACUAAACAAUUCAAUUCAAUAUAUAUAUUUACAAGCGUUGCACGGCUGUCUCCAGUUAAUGUCGUGAGAUUUGGUUAGAUCCAUUAAAUUAACGUAAACCCUUGCUUUAUUUUUAAAUAAUGCAGUUCGUCCAUCACAUUGGAUAUGAUAAAAGGGCUAAGACAAGUCAUCAUGGCCUAAAUGUUGU